GACGAAAGCUGGCGGCGUGCUUAACACAUGCAAGUCGAACGGAAAGGCCCUGCUUUUGUGGGGUGCUCGAGUGGCGAACGGGUGAGUAACACGUGAGUAACCUGCCCUUGACUUUGGGAUAACUUCAGGAAACGGGGGCUAAUACCGGAGAGGAGCGCCGGCGGCAGGGGGGGGGGGGGAAAGGUGCGGCGGGGGGGGAUGGACGCGCGGCUUAUCAGCUGGUUGGUGGGGUAGUGGCUUACCAAGGCUUUGACGGGUAGCCGGCCUGAGAGGGUGACCGGCCACAUUGGGACUGAGAUACGGCACCGCCUCCUCCGUGCGGCCGCGGUCGGGCCUCUUGCGCCCUGGGCGGGCGCCUGCUGCCGCACCGCCGCGUGCGGGAUGCCGGCCUUCGGGUUGUACCCCGCUUUCGCCUUUGCCGCCGCGUGCGUGCCGGUCCUGGGUCCCGCCGCCCCGGCUCCCUCCGUG
rnacentral:rRNA from 1 species